GUGCCAUUAGCACAGUGGUUAGUGCACCGGGUUGUGGUCCCGGCUACACCAGUUCAAUUCUGGUAUGGCACCCCA
rnacentral:tRNA from 1 species